GACGAACGCUGGCGGCGCGCUUAACACAUGCAAGUCGAACGGAAAGGCCUGCUUUCCCUUGUGGAUUGCGGGUACUCGCGUGGCGAACGGGUGAGUAACACGUGAGUGAUCUGCCCCCAACUUGGGUAUAAGCCUGGGAAACUGGGUCUAAUUCCCGAUAGGACUGCAGGGUGGUGCCUGUGGUGGAAAACGAUUUUCUAGUGGUUGGGGAUGAGCUCGCGGCCUAUCAGCUUGCUGGUGGGGUAAUGGCCUACCAAGGCGGCGACGGGUAGCCGGCCUGGGAGGGUGGACGGGCACAUUGGGACUGAGAUACGGCCAAGACUCCUACGGGAGGCAGCAGUGGGGAAUAUUGCACGAUGGGCGGAAGCCUGAUGCAGCGACGCCGCGUGGGGGAUGACGGCCUUCGGGUUGUAACCUCCUUUCGACCGCGAGGAAGCCACCUGGUUGGAAGGGUGGUGACGGUAGUGGUAGAAGAAGCACCGGCUAACUACGUG
rnacentral:rRNA from 1 species